AGGUUUUCCCUCCUUUGCUGAGAACUUAUGCCUGGUGUCCAUCCACUUCCUCUGCCACAGAGUGAGCAGCAGCCUGGGACUCAACCUCAUCCUGGUACAGGCAGACGAUGGUGAGACUGAGAAAGGAACUCAGAGCCGGGAGAAACAAGUCCUAUCUUCUGGCCAACUCACAGCCACGUGGUCUACCAGUGCACUUGGCAUUAAGGGUUGAAUCGUAUCCCUGGCUCAAAUUCACGUGUUGAAAUCCUAACCUCUUAGUACCUCAGAAUAUAGCUUGAUUUGGAGACUGGGUGUUUACAGAGGCAACCAAGAUAAAGCAAGGUCAUUCUGGUGGGCUCUAAUCAAAUAUGACUGUUGUGCUUAUUCUAAGAAGGGGUAAGUGGGACACAGACAUGUACUGACGGAAGACGAUGUGACCAGGUGAAGAUACUGGGAGAAUGCCAUUGAACAUGAAGAUAACCAAGCCAAGGGGAGAGGCCUGGAACAGAGCCCUCCCUCAGAGCCCUCAGAAAGAACCAGCCGUCCCAACCAACACCUUGAUCUGGGACUUCCAGCCUCCAGGAGAUGAGACAAGAAAUUUCUGUUGGUUAAGCCACCCAGGCUGUGAUACUUGGUUACAGUAGCCCUAGCAAACUAAUACAGCUGGCCGCCUGGUGAACAUAAGAAAUGUCAAUUGUGAUGCGGGAAGGGGUACCCCUAAGAACACAGGGAAGUUUGAGGCCACUAUAUGGCUUUGAGGAAGGGAAUAGGGAAGAGGGGGCAAUGCCCAGGAGGAAAGACGUCCCACAAAGCCCUGCUGCCUUCCUGCCCCUGGGGCCUUUGCCUGCCCUACUACUAGGAAUAAAUCUACAAGCAGAUGCAGAAUAGCAAUAGGGCAGAGCUGGAAAGAAGACCAGGCUUUGGCUGCUGGUCCUGUCCCUGCACCAGAGUGGUUGUGUGACCUUGAAUACGUGGCUUCACUCUUCUGAGGCUUGGUGACCUCUGCUGUCAAUGGUAGAGACGACCCGGGUGUUCCCAAGAUUCCUCCUGCUGAGAGUAUCAGCAGGUCUGAGUAUCUAUAGAGACCAGGGGGAGCCAGGUUGAGAUCAGCUACGGCUGGCAGUGCAGGAAGUGAGUCUUAAUCUGUACCUUUGCCAUUGCCAGAGAAGGGCAGGCAGCCAUGGAAGGCUGCCUUUUAAUUUCUACUAUUGUGGAGAGUAUGACUUGGGGCCACUUUACUUAGUACUUGGAGCUUCUCCACAGCCCCACGGGUUGGGAGUCUCUGUGCUAUGACUGAUAUCCUCACUCUAGAGAAAUUUUGUGCCAAAACCUGGAAUGAAAUUGGAUAGAGAAAUUGGUCUCUUCUGGCCCCCUUCCUGAUCGGCCCCAUCAGUCAAAUGCAGCAGACUGCAACAAUACAAGAAGUUUUUCACUGAAGAGUCAGAGCACAGUAGUAAAAGUGAAUGACCAACCUGGAAGAAACUAACAGAUGCAAGAUCACUGCCUGGCUUUUCUUUCCUUACUUCAGUAAAUAUUUCAUAGAACAUCACUGAGCCCGGAAUUUCCUAGGUAAAGUGAGCAACUAAAUGAACGAUAAAAAUGAUUAUCACAUGCA